AAAUACCUACUCUGAAAGAGACUCUCUGUAUAGCUCUGCCCUCCUGAAUUGCAUGCCCAAAUUGCAUUUUCAUAAGCCCCCCAAAAGUGUCUUGUGGACCCCCUGAAAAUGCUUCCAGAUCCCCAGUCCUCGGGAACUACCGUCUGUCGCCCUACAGUAAGGGAGGAAACAACAGCAGAACUUCAUGUUAGCUCAGACCAGCUGCAGAUGCUCAUCUGAACUUUGAGAAUGGUCAAAUAAAAGUAAAACCUGAUGGAACACCA
rnacentral:lncRNA from 1 species